GGAUAAGCAACUAUGCGAUCAGCUCCUAGUGAACUCCCCCAGGGUCGGAAGGCAGCAAGGGUAAGUAGUUGUAGCGAUGCGACGUGGCUUGCUUAUCCACC
rnacentral:SRP_RNA from 1 species